AUUGAACGCUGGCGGCAGGCCUAACACAUGCAAGUCGAACGGUAGCACAGAGAGCUUGCUCUCGGGUGACGAGUGGCGGACGGGUGAGUAAUGUCUGGGAAACUGCCUGAUGGAGGGGGAUAACUACUGGAAACGGUAGCUAAUACCGCAUAACGUCGCAAGACCAAAGUGGGGGACCUUCGGGCCUCAUGCCAUCAGAUGUGCCCAGAUGGGAUUAGCUAGUAGGUGGGGUAACGGCUCACCUAGGCGACGAUCCCUAGCUGGUCUGAGAGGAUGACCAGCCACACUGGAACUGAGACACGGUCCAGACUCCUACGGGAGGCAGCAGUGGGGAAUAUUGCACAAUGGGCGCAAGCCUGAUGCAGCCAUGCCGCGUGUGUGAAGAAGGCCUUCGGGUUGUAAAGCACUUUCAGCGGGGAGGAAGGCGGUGAGGUUAAUAACCUCAUCGAUUGACGUUACCCGCAGAAGAAGCACCGGCUAACUCCGUGCCAGCAGCCGCGGUAAUACGGAGGGUGCAAGCGUUAAUCGGAAUUACUGGGCGUAAAGCGCACGCAGGCGGUCUGUCAAGUCGGAUGUGGAAUCCCCGGGCUCAACCUGGGAACUGCAUUCGAAACUGGCAGGCUAGAGUCUUGUAGAGGGGGGUAGAAUUCCAGGUGUAGCGGUGAAAUGCGUAGAGAUCUGGAGGAAUACCGGUGGCGAAGGCGGCCCCCUGGACAAAGACUGACGCCCCGGUGCGAAAGCGUGGGGAGCAAACAGGAUUAGAUACCCUGGUAGUCCACGCUGUAAACGAUGUCGAUUUGGAGGUUGUGCCCUUGAGGCGUGGCUUCCGGAGCUAACGCGUUAAAUCGACCGCCUGGGGAGUACGGCCGCAAGGUUAAAACUCAAAUGAAUUGACGGGGGCCCGCACAAGCGGUGGAGCAUGUGGUUUAAUUCGAUGCAACGCGAAGAACCUUACCUGGUCUUGACAUCCACAGAACUUUCCAGAGAUGGAUUGGUGCCUUCGGGAACUGUGAGACAGGUGCUGCAUGGCUGUCGUCAGCUCGUGUUGUGAAAUGUUGGGUUAAGUCCCGCAACGAGCGCAACCCUUAUCCUUUGUUGCCAGCGGUUAGGCCGGGAACUCAAAGGAGACUGCCAGUGAUAAACUGGAGGAAGGUGGGGAUGACGUCAAGUCAUCAUGGCCCUUACGACCAGGGCUACACACGUGCUACAAUGGCAUAUACAAAGAGAAGCGACCUCGCGAGAGCAAGCGGACCUCAUAAAGUAUGUCGUAGUCCGGAUUGGAGUCUGCAACUCGACUCCAUGAAGUCGGAAUCGCUAGUAAUCGUAGAUCAGAAUGCUACGGUGAAUACGUUCCCGGGCCUUGUACACACCGCCCGUCACACCAUGGGAGUGGGUUGCAAAAGAAGUAGGUAGCUUAACCUUCGGGAGGGCGCUUACCACUUUGUGAUUCAUGACUGGGGUGA
rnacentral:rRNA from 1 species